rnacentral:misc_RNA from 1 species
CAUUAGCAGAUAGUGGCGUUAGGGAUUGCAGUGGAAAGCCCACAGCGCAGCGAGGACUUGGAACGUAAAGCCCGACCCCAC